rnacentral:rRNA from 1 species
AGGAAUUGGCGGGGGAGCACUACAACGGGUGGAGCCUGCGGUUCAAUUGGAUUCAACGCCGGAAAGCUUACCGGGUCAGACAGCAAUAUGAAGGUCAAGCUAAAGACUUUACCGAAUUCGCUGAGAGGAGGUGCAUGGCCGUCGUCAGUUCGUAUCGUGAGACAUCCUGUUAAGUCAGGCAACGAGCAAGACCCGUGCCCACAGUUGCCAGCAUACCCUCCGGGGUGAUGGGCACACUGUGGGGACCGCCGCUGCUAAAGCGGAGGAAGGUGCGGGCUACGGUAGGUCAGUAUGCCCCGAAUCAUCCGGGCUACACGCGGGCUAUAAUGGUUGGGACAAUGGGCACCUACACCGAGAGGUGAUGGUAAUCUCCUAAACCCAGCCUUAGUUCGGAUUGAGGGCUGCAACUCGCCCUCAUGAAGCCGGAAUCCGUAGUAAUCGCGUAUCAAUAUCACGCGGUGAAUACGUCCCUGCUCCUUGCACACACCGCCCGUCAAACCAUGCGAGUGAGGUCUGAAUGAGGGCACGCUUUUUGGCGUGUUCGAAUUUGGCUUCGCGAGUGGGGUUAAGUCGUAACAAGGUAACCUCAGUCAGUCAA